AUUGAACGCUGGCGGCAGGCCUAACCCAUGCAAGUCGAACGAGUGGCGGACGGGUGAGUAAUGUCUGGGAAACUGCCUGAUGGAGGGGGAUAACUCCUGGAAACGGUAGCUAAUACCGCAUACCAUCAGAUGUGCCCAGAUGGGAUUAGCUCGUUGGUGGGGUAACGGCUCACCAAGGCGACGAUCCCUAGCUGGUCUGAGAGGAUGACCAUCCACACUGGAACUGAGACACGGUCCAGACUCCUACGGGAGGCAGCAGUGGGGAAUAGUGCACAAUGGGCGCAAGCCUGAUGCAGACAUGCCGCGUGUAUGAAGAAGGCCUUCGGGUUGUAAAGUACUUGCAGCGGGGAGGCGUUACCUGCAUAAGAAGCACCGACUAACUCCGCGUCAGCAACCGCGGUAAUUC
rnacentral:rRNA from 1 species